UAACACGUGGAUAACCUACCUAUAAGACUGGGAUAACUUCGGUAAACCGGAGCUAAUACCGGAUAAUAUUUUGAACCGCAUGGUUCAAAAGUGAAAGACGGUCUUGCUGUCACUUAUAGAUGGAUCCGCGCUGCAUUAGCUAGUUGGUAAGGUAACGGCUUACCAAGGCAACGAUGCAUAGCCGACCUGAGAGGGUGAUCGGCCACACUGGAACUGAGACACGGUCCAG
rnacentral:rRNA from 1 species